rnacentral:piRNA from 1 species
GACUGAAUCUAUAAGAAGUGUCCACAUCA